AUAUGGUUUAAAUUACAUAAAAGCACAUGAAUUAAUUCCAUUGAAAAUAUUUUAUCCAAAAUUAUGAAGAACUGGGUUUAUUAGAAUCUUAAGCUGCUUAUUACUGAGGGACUCACUAUGAUUUGCGUUCCUGCUACCUUCUCGUAUAUCAAUGCAUGCUCGAAAUUUCUCCAUGGAAGUGGCCUAAGGAUUUUUGUUCAAUAACACAACAAACACAUAUGCCAUGGGAAAUGAUGGACUGUUAUUUUUGCAUGGCACUGUAGAAUGGCAAAGGGAUGCUUGUUUGAAUUUAGUUGCUGAAAUCUAUGCUACAGUAAUACAAAAAAGAUAUAAUGUGAAUCACAUUUAUUCAUAAAAUACUUCAAAUAUAUUAACAUAUGAUCAUA